GCGGGAGUGGCGAAAUUGGUAGACGCGCUGGAUUUAGGUUCCAGUGCCGCAAGGCGUGAGAGUUCGAGUCUCUCCUUCCGCACCA
rnacentral:tRNA from 2 species